ensembl:lncRNA
GGUUAAUGAGGGUGACAAUAAAAAAAACACAACACAACAACUGAACCAACACCCUGAGGUGGCACGUAACAUAUAUAUACACACAUAUCAGCUGAAUAGCUAGUGAGACACCUAUACACAUGCAUUUGUUAAAAAUAUACAUUAUAAAUGUUAGUGUUUAAAACCCAGAAAAGAAAUAAGUGACUUUGAAAUGUGUUUUUUCCAUUUAUUUUGAAUAAAUGUGAACUUGACAGCUCAUAACUGUGAUGGGUUUCUAAACGGAGUGAUAAUUAAGAAAUAGUUGAAAAACACGAAACAUUGUUGAACUACACUGAUACAUACAAGCAUUUUAUGCAAGCUAAAAGUAAGAAUAAAUAGCUGAAUGUGUUUUGUUGAAUAUUUUGAACUUUUCAGUGUUUGCACAAUGGACAAACACUAAAAUACUGCACAGUAGAUAGCCGAAACAUCUAGCUUUUAGCAUUUAAUGUGUGGCUGAACUGAAUUGCCAAGUGGUGCAUGUCAUUUAAAAAAAAAGUAUUGAAAAAAAUUCAAAAUAAUGGGGUAAAAAUAACAUUCAAUUAUAAUAAAUGUGGAGCAUUAGUGGAGGUGCUGAAGUAGUGGUGCUGUAGAUCAGCUGACAGCGCUCUAGGUGGGAAGCUGAUGAAAAAGAAUGGAAAUCACUGUUCUGUGAUAUAUCCUUUUUUACAUCUCUAGGUAUGCAGUCAGUUUCAGAACAUACUAGACAGCACGAGCAACAGACUGAAACAGUGCUCCCUUUGAUCAAGACCAAGUGAGUCCUCAUCUUUUGUCUUGCCACUGGCGGCGUUGGCAUGGAAACACCACCAGAGUGGGGAACACUGUGGUCGAUCAGCAAAUGGGUCACAUGGAGAGGAAAACAAGCACAACCCCACACACGUACACACAGAGACUCAUAGAUGUGCGGCAACCCCCUUUACAUCAAGUGUAGUGUUACAAAGUAAAGAAACCCCUGACCUAUUUCGCCACAACGCUCCUCUUUCUUUUGCACAACAUGCUUAUGUUGCAACAUGCAAUACAGUUAAAGUAUAAACCGUGACCCGUAUGGUUUUUGGCCUUUUGCAGAGGGCUGGGUGAAAGUUGCCUUUAUGUGGAUGCCAGUUUGAAAAAUGGAAAGGCCUCUUCAAGACGAAUGCAAAGAGAGGUGUAUUGAGCGGCGCUUGUAAAAUGACUCUCUGAGACAGCACCAACUACCUGCCGGUGAUGCCGGGUGAAGCAGGAAGAGGUUUUAGAUUGCAGUGGCCUUUCUGCAGCUUUGUCCUGAGUGAGGAGAUCCCUUCACGGUGAUACUCACUACAGAGAAAAAAAAGAGAAGAGUAGAGGUGAAGGGGGAUCAUUAUUUGAAAUUCAUUCAUAUUUCUAGAUGUCCUUCUGACCGAUUCACAGCCCACGACAGUGUGUACUUGGCUUCGUUUAUGGCUCACAAACCAGUCGGAGAUUUAGUGCUACUGGCUUUAUGUGUGUCUUGGUCCACCGCCACAACUUGGUGACCUUGUAAAAGUAUCUGCAGGGCAACGUGAUGCAAUAAAAGAUCAUGUUUACUGCAGCAAAAUCUGCAGAGGCCAAAAAAAGAAGUUUGCAACAGAAAUAACUUCUACAUCUGGCAUUAUUUUUGCAAUUUGUAGCAAAUAGUGACGCAAAGAGAUGCAGUGCAAAGAAUGUAUAUAUAUAAAUAUAUAUAUAUACACACACACACACACACACAUAUAUUUCAGUAUGUCUGACUGGGCUUGCUCUCCUACGUGGUUCAGGACUGGCAUUCAGUUACAUCAUUCUUCAGAGAACGGAAGCUCAGAUUACAGGAAAGGCAAACACAGGCCUCUGGGGUCUGUGAGUGUGUGUAUCACUCUGUGUGUGUGUGUGUGUGUGCAGUCGCUAUCCCUGUAUGCUCGUCUUAUAUAACCAAUCAGAAUGCCCGACAUGUUUCUCUUGAUGGAUGCGAUUACGUUUGGGUUCAGAUUUCAUCAUUUAAUUCGACACACAGUUUCAGGGUUGUUUGUAUAGCUGAGAUUUGGGUGAUGUGUUUGUCUCCGAGCACUUUCAUAUGCAUCUUGUUCACAUAUUCCCUCUUACUGAGGUAGAAUACACUUAGUUAUUUAACUGAAACACGAUAUCGCUUUCAAAACACAUUUCGGUGAUAUUUAUUCUGUAAUAACUCCAUAUUUAAUAUAAAUUCACAGAGUGCAACACAGAGUUUUUGCAUUUUGGAGCCUGAAAAAAUGAUCAAAGCUGAAGAGGUCAUUCGAGGUCCUUGAACUGGAUUUCACAAGUAAAGCCUUUAACAGCAAAAACAGAGGCCUUACUUGCAGACAGCAUAUUUAUCCUGCGUUUCUCCCUCAGUAGGUAGAUAAUAUGGAGGGUUUAAAGCUGGGAGCGUCAUCAUCAGGCAGGUUGAGCAUGUGGUAAAGCAGAAGUCAGGGCACAGUGUUGCACAUGGUUCACCAAGCAUCUCCUCUCUUAUCUGUAGCAACAACGUGUGAGUUAAAUUAGUGCUGUAUAAUUAACAAGACAAAAUGGGCCUGCAGAUGUUCCAGAGUCAAUUGAACAUCAAUAACUCCAGCUGAGGCCAGUUGCUCUCCCUCAUCCUUCUUUUCUUUCUCUUUCCAGGCAGUGGACUUGAGAUGAAUUUCACAGUCUGUUUGAAGCUGCUUUUCAGCCCUGUGGAUGAAUGGAUACAGUGUUUCUGUAUGCUGCUGCUGCUGCUACUGAUGCUGAUGCUGCCAUUUCUCUCUCAGCAUCUCUGGAGCUGGAGGGCUGUCAGAGGCGUCUGCUGCUGCUCGCUGCUUCCUGCCACUCACAGCUUUCAGGCUCUGAUCGCAGCAAUUUCAGCCGGCCCCAUUGUUUAUGUGCGCCGGAGUGCUGAAGCAUGUAAGAAGAGUGCCAUCCCAGCACCAUUCACAUAACCUACCAUAAGAGACAUGCACUGCUGGGCUUCAAAGCUCUCUCACUUUCAGUAAUGUAAAUGUUUUGCCCCCUGAUAACAACAGGAUGUUGCUAGUGAAAAUGUAGUGCAAUCAGUUGUGCGUGACAUUACAAAAAUAUGUUUUUCUUAACCCCAGCACUAUAUUUAUACCUUAUUGUUUUUGGUGGUUUCAUUUCUCUAGGUUUUAAAGCGUCUAUCUUCCUGUGUUUGAGAGAUCACUUUUAUUGAGAAUACUUUUAACACAACAUAGAUAAUGAGCUCUAGCCACCCCAGCUACCUGGCCUCAGUGCAACCACUCAGCUGUCUGAAAAGCAAUGGAUUCACCAACUUCACAGCAUAAAUAUCAAAUUUUAACAGAAAGAAUGAUAACUGGAUGGAAAAGCAUAAUAGUUUCACUUUAAAGAUAUAACAUUCUAUUUAGGACCAAUAUGUUGCAGAUCCACCAAUGUCCUCCCUGCCCUUCUUUACAUACUUUAGAGCAGGGGCUCUUAUUGGGAAUAAGAUCCUGGAUAUGGGCAUCUUUUUAAAUUUUUCUCCAGCUGCCCAUUGACCGUUGGAGACACCUUUCAAGCAGAGGCUUAAUCUAUGUAGACAUAUGACACGUUGGACACUUUUUUUUCUUUAAAGACAAGAAAUUGAAUGCACUACGAUUAUGCAUAAACACCCCCUCAGUCAUCCUUUAAAAUCCCCCCUCCCCUGUCUGCUCCUGAUCAAACCAGUUAAAAAAAACAACAAUCAUAAGUUCGGCAAACCAACCACUGCCUAAACUCAAAAGCCAAAAAUCGUUAGCCCCAGUGCUCAAUUCCUAAGUCACUGUUAACUGUCCUUGUAUUAAGAACAUUGUCUUUAACUUGCUAGCUAGAUAGCACCAUCCAGUAUUCAGAAGUGAAUCCACCCCUUAGCAAAAAUCACUUACAUUGCAAAAGAUCCUAUUUAUAUUUGUAGCAACGGCACACCUGCUUAGAUCAACAAUAUGUUAUUUGAUGAUAUCCAGAACUAAGCAGUUAAGAUUUACUAGGUUAUAUUAAAAAUGCAGGCCUCACAGUAGAAACCAUUUCAUCUUUCAUUGCUGAAAGACUCUGAUUACUUUUGCUUACUUCAGAUGCCCAGCUUUCUUUUACACAACAGAGUCAAUCCUACUUGACACGAGAGACCAGCGUUGCAUAAAUUUCUUUGGAGAGGUGUUCUGUUGCAGUCGAGGCAGGUGACACACUAGUCCAGGUCAGAGUUUCACUUUUUCUUCUCUAGAAACCAACGUCUGAUUUUAUCUGCAGACCACACUUUGGAUCAUUGUCACGCUGGAAUAGCCCUGCGAAGCUUCUGGAGAACAGGAGCUCUUGUCUGACACUAUUUUAUUUCAUUGUGUCAUCUAUAAAUCUUGUAAAAUCAACAUGUUUUGCACUUAUGCAACACAAAUGUUUUUCAUAGAUGCCUUCUACAGAGGUUGCUGUUAUGCAAUGUGCUUAUCGCUGUCCGAGCUGUUA